UGAGUAAAUAAUGUUGACAUACUGUUCAAAUAAACCCACAAUUUACUGCAAUCUGUUUUUAGACAAACCCUCCACUUUAACCUCCAAAUGGGAAAAAACGAAGAGACUUUCCUCUUCUCAUUUAAUCAAGAACAUAUGUUCAAAGAUAAUACCGGAGGCUUAUUCUGGGAAGCGUUCUGCUCUUCCUCCGACAGCCACGCAGCGAGCUCACGAGGCAGCCUCCACACAUAAUGAAAGCAAACGCCACCAUAAAUCUCCCGCUCGGCGGAGGUCACUUCAGAAAAAUCGCCCGCUGCUCAAAUAAGCACCAGCUUUGCUGAGGCACAUGGAAGGGGGAAAACACCGACUGUGAUAAACACCAGCACAGCUCCCUGCCUUCCACCUCCCUGCUGCAAAAUGGAUCAAUCUAUAAUAAGUAGUAGUUAUAUAUCAUAAGGCAGCAAUUCCUUUUAGUUGUUCCACUAUAAAAAAUCAUCCAGAUUUAGAACUUGACAGGAACCAGUAUCGCCUGCCCCCCAGAGCCGGCAGAAAGUCUGUGUAUGUCAUUCAGCCAGCAU
rnacentral:lncRNA from 1 species